UGAUUUAGUUUGUUUGACUGCACCCCGGCCCUCUGACUUAUUAGCCAAUCACUGCGCUUACCGAGGGGAGAAAAGUAGGCUGUGUCCCUCCUCCUGAUCUCUCGCUUCCGGGUCGUUGUAUGUGCCGCUAGCAUCCGAGCACAGAUCCGGCGUCUUCACCGCGGUCGAGCCGAUCAGUCGGGGCGGUGUUUAUUGCCGCAACCAGAGCAUUGUGCUGAAGGCCGACGGUGGUGGUGGUGGUUCUCCUGGGUGGUGGUGGUCCUGUGUGCUGUGUGAUCCCUUUUUAAGAUUUUCUUUGUUUACACGUCACCUUUUGCUGUGUGUGUGGGGUGUCCUCCUUUUCCUUUUGGAUGUCACUUCCCCUACCAAACCCCUCCUCCAGCCGGUAAGCCUCAGACUACAUCCCCCUUUUAGUUGGGCUCUUUUCUUUUUUUGUGUUACAGUGUCAACCUCAUGAUUGUUUUAAUAAUAAAUUGUUAGACAUGA